GACGGGACCGCACAAGCAGCGGAGCAUGUGGUUUAAUUCGAAGCAACGCGAAGAACCUUACCGAAGGCUUGACAUCCCUUGAAAGGUGCAGAGAUGCAUCCCUUUUCGGAGCAGGGGAGACAGGUGGUGCAUGGUUGUCGUCAGCUCGUGUCGUGAGAUGUUGGGUUAAGUCCCGCAACGAGCGCAACCCCUAUUAUUAGUUGCCAGCACUACGGGUGGGCACUCUAAUGAGACUGCCGGUGGCAAACCGGAGGAAGUGGGGAUGACGUCAAAUCAUCAUGCCCCUUAUGUCUUGGGCUACACACGUGCUACAAUGGUCGGUACAACGGGGUGCGAAGGAGCGAUCCGGAGCGAAUCCCAAGAAGCCGAUCUCAGUUCGGAUUGCAGGCUGCAACUCGCCUGCAUGAAGUUGGAGUUGCUAGUAAUCGCGAAUCAGAACGUCGCGGUGAAUACGUUCCCGGGCCUU
rnacentral:rRNA from 1 species